GACGUAGGGCGCGAGCGUUGUCCGGAUUUAUUGGGCGUAAAGAGCUCGUAGGCGGCUUGUUACGUCGGCUGUGAAAUCCCGUGGCUCAACUGCGGGUCUGCAGCCGAUACGGGCAGGCUAGAGUUCGGUAGGGGAGACUGGAAUUCCUGGUGUAGCGGUGAAAUGCGCAGAUAUCAGGAGGAACACCGGUGGCGAAGGCGGGUCUCUGGGCCGAUACUGACGCUGAGGAGCGAAAGCGUGGGGAGCGAACAGG
rnacentral:rRNA from 1 species